UACGGAGGGAGCUAGCGUUGUUCGGAAUUACUGGGCGUAAAGCGCACGUAGGCGGCUUUUUAAGUCAGGGGUGAAAUCCCGGGGCUCAACCCCGGAACUGCCCUUGAAACUGGAGAGCUAGAAUCUUGGAGAGGCGAGUGGAAUUCCGAGUGUAGAGGUGAAAUUCGUAGAUAUUCGGAAGAACACCAGUGGCGAAGGCGACUCGCUGGACAAGUAUUGGCGCUGAGGUGCGAAAGCGUGGGGGAGCAAACAGG
rnacentral:rRNA from 1 species